GAUGAAGAACGUAGCGAAAUGAGAUAAGUAAUGUGAAUUGCAGAAUUCAGUGAAUCAUCGAAUCUUUGAACGCACCUUGCGCCCUUUGGACAUUCCGAAGGGCAUGCCUGUUUGAGUAUCAUGAACACCUCAACUCUCACGGCUUGUCCGUGAUGAGCUUGGACUUUGGGGGUCUUGCCGGCCUGUGGUCGGCUCCUCUCAAAUGGAUCAGCUUGCCAGUGUUUGGUGGCAUCACAGGUGUGAUAACUAUCUGCGCUUGUGGUUUUCCAUCAGAUAACCUUCAGUGAUAUGGAGGUUCGCUGGAGCUCACAAAUGUCUCUCCUUAGUGAGGACAGCUCUUUGAACGUUUGAUCUCAAAUCAGGCAGGACUACCCGCUGAACUUAAGCAUAUCAAUAAGCGGAGGA
rnacentral:misc_RNA from 1 species